GUCGAGGGGUAACAGGCCACGAAGAUUCCUUCGGGAUGAUUCAGGCGCUGACAACCGGCGGACGGGUGAGUAAUGCGUAGGAACCUGCCCCGUAGUGGGGGAUAGCCCGAAGAAAUUCGGAUUAAUACCGCAUGUGAUCCACGGAUCAAAGCGGGCCUCUACUUGUAAGCUCGCGCUAUGGGAUGGGCCUACGUCGGAUUAGCUUGUUGGUGAGGUAAUGGCUCACCAAGGCAACGAUCCGUAGCUGGUCUGAGAGGAUGAUCAGCCACACUGGGACUGAGACACGGCCCAGACUCCUACGGGAGGCAGCAGUGGGGAAUAUUGCACAAUGGGCGCAAGCCUGAUGCAGCAAUGCCGCGUGUGUGAAGAAGGCCUGCGGGUUGUAAAGCACUUUUAUGAAGGAAGAAAAGCUUAAGGUUAAUACCCUUGAGUGUUGACGGUACUUCAGGAAUAAGCACCGGCUAACUCCGUGCCAGCAGCCGCGGUAAUACGGAGGGUGCGAGCGUUAAUCGGAAUUACUGGGCGUAAAGCGAGUGUAGGCGGUUACAUAAGUCGGAUGUGAAAGCCCCGGGCUUAACCUGGGAAUGGCAUCCGAUACUGUGUGACUAGAGUUUGGUAGAGGUAAGUGGAAUUCCGGG
rnacentral:rRNA from 1 species